UACGAAGGGGGCUAGCGUUGUUCGGAAUUACUGGGCGUAAAGCGCGCGCAGGCGGUUCGAUAAGUUGGGGGUGAAAUCCCCGGGCUCAACCCGGGAAUGGCCUUCAAGACUGUCGAUCUUGAGGACGAGAGAGGUGAGUGGAAUUCCCAGUGUAGAGGUGAAAUUCGUAGAUAUUGGGAAGAACACCGGUGGCGAAGGCGGCUCACUGGCUCGUUUCUGACGCUGAGGCGCGAAAACGUGGGGAGCAAACAGG
rnacentral:rRNA from 1 species